ensembl:rRNA 5S_rRNA 5S ribosomal RNA
GCCUAUGGCCAUACCAUCCUGAACCUCCUUUAUCUCAUCUGAUCUCAGAAGCUAAGCAAGGUUGGGCCUUGUUAGUACUUGGAAGGGAGACUGUCUGGGAAUACCAGGUGCUGUAAGCA